AGAGUUUGAUCAUGGCUCAGAGCGAACGCUGGCGGCAGGCCUAACACAUGCAAGUCGAGCGCCGUAGCAAUACGGAGCGGCAGACGGGAGAGUAACACGUGGGAACGUGCCCUUCAGUUCGGAACAACCCAGGGAAACUUGGGCUAAUACCGGAUACGUCCGUAAGGAGAAAGAUUUAUCGCUGAAGGAUCGGCCCGCGUCUGAUUAGCUAGUUGGUGAGGUAACGGCUCACCAAGGCGACGAUCAGUAGCUGGUCUGAGAGGAUGAUCAGCCUCACUGGGACUGAGACACGGCCCAGACUCCUACGGGAGGCAGCAGUGGGGAAUAUUGGACAAUGGGCGCAAGCCUGAUCCAGCCAUGCCGCGUGGAUGAUGAAGGCCCUAGGGUUGUAAAGUCCUUUCGGCGGGGAAGAUAAUGACGGUACCCGCAGAAGAAGCCCCGGCUAACUUCGUGCCAGCAGCCGCGGUAAUACGAAGGGGGCUAGCGUUGCUCGGAAUCACUGGGCGUAAAGCGCACGUAGGCGGCUUUUUAAGUCAGGGGUGAAAUCCUGGAGCUCAACUCCAGAACUGCCUUUGAUACUGAGAAGCUUGAGUCCGGGAGAGGUGAGUGGAACUGCGAGUGUAGAGGUGAAAUUCGUAGAUAUUCGCAAGAACACCAGUGGCGAAGGCGGCUCACUGGCCCGGUACUGACGCUGAGAUGCGAAAGCGUGGGGAGCAAACAGGAUUAGAUACCCCCGUAGUCC
rnacentral:rRNA from 1 species